rnacentral:rRNA from 1 species
UACAGAGGGGGCAAGCGUUGUUCGGAAUUACUGGGCGUAAAGGGCGCGUAGGCGGCCUGUUAAGUCGAACGUGAAAUCCCCGGGCUCAACCCGGGAACUGCGUCCGAUACUGGCAGGCUUGAAUCCGGGAGAGGGAUGCGGAAUUCCAGGUGUAGCGGUGAAAUGCGUAGAUAUCUGGAGGAACACCGGUGGCGAAGGCGCUCUGCUGGACUGCAACUGACACUCAGGGACGAAAGCUAGGGGAGCGAAUGGG